CCUACGGGAGGCAGCAGUGAGGAAUAUUGGACAAUGGGCGCAAGCCUGAUCCAGCCAUGCCGCGUGCAGGAAGACGCAUCUAUGGUGUGUAAACUGCUUUUGUACAGGAAGAAACACUCCCUCGUGAGGGAGCUUGACGGUACUGUAAGAAUAAGGAUCGGCUAACUCCGUGCCAGCAGCCGCGGUAAUACGGAGGAUCCAAGCGUUAUCCGGAAUCAUUGGGUUUAAAGGGUCCGUAGGCGGUUUAAUAAGUCAGUGGUGAAAUCUGGUCGCUCAACGAUCAAACGGCCAUUGAUACUGUUAGACUUGAAUUAUAAGGAAGUAACUAGAAUAUGUAGUGUAGCGGUGAAAUGCUUAGAUAUUACAUGGAAUACCAAUUGCGAAGGCAGGUUACUACUUAUGGAUUGACGCUGAUGGACGAAAGCGUGGGGAGCGAACAGGAUUAGAUACCCUGGUAGUCCACGCCGUAAACGAUGGAUACUAGCUGUUGGGCGCAAGUUCAGUGGUGUAGACGAAGUAGAGUAAGUAGUCCACCGUCGGGUAAGGUACGUUCGUUCGAGUAAGUUAGUUAACGUACGAAGUUAGAGUUAGACGGCGUUGAGACGUUAGACCGACGGACGACCGACGAGGGAGGUUAGGAGG
rnacentral:rRNA from 1 species